rnacentral:rRNA from 1 species
GACGUAGGGCGCGAGCGUUGUCCGGAUUUAUUGGGCGUAAAGCGCACGUAGGCGGAUGUGUCAGUCAGGGGUGAAAUCCCGGAGCUCAACUUCGGAACUGCCCUUGAUACUGAGAAGCUUGAGUCCGGGAGAGGUGAGUGGAACUGCGAAGUGUAGAGGUGAAAUUCGUAGAUAUUCGCAAAGAACACCAGUGGCGGAACGGCGGCUCACUGGCCCGGUACUGGACGCUGA